ACAANUUAGCUGUUGGGACACUAGAUGUCUUAGUAGCGAAGCUAACGCGUGAAAUUGUCCGCCUGGGGAGUACGGUCGCAAGAUUAAAACUCAAAGGAAUUGACGGGGACCCGCACAAGCGGUGGAUGAUGUGGAUUAAUUCGAUGCAACGCGAAGAACCUUACCUGGUCUUGACAUGUACGGAAUCUCUUAGAGAUAGGAGAGUGCCUUCGGGAACCGUAACACAGGUGCUGCAUGGCUGUCGUCAGCUCGUGUCGUGAGAUGUUGGGUUAAGUCCCGCAACGAGCGCAACCCUUGUCAUUAGUUGCCAUCAUUAAGUUGGGCACUCUAAUGAGACUGCCGGUGACAAACCGGAGGAAGGUGGGGAUGACGUCAAGUCCUCAUGGCCCUUAUGACCAGGGCUUCACACGUCAUACAAUGGUCGGUACAGAGGGUAGCGAAGCCGCGAGGUGAAGCCAAUCUCAGAAAGCCGAUCGUAGUCCGGAUUGCACUCUGCAACUCGAGUGCAUGAAGUCGGAAUCGCUAGUAAUCGCAGGUCAGCAUACUGCGGUGAAUACGUUCCCGGGUCU
rnacentral:rRNA from 1 species